rnacentral:rRNA from 1 species
UACGGGGGGGGCAAGCGUUGUUCGGAAUUACUGGGCGUAAAGGGCGCGUAGGCGGCGUAUUAAGUCAGCUGUGAAAUCUCCAAGCUUAACUUGGAACGGUCAGCUGAUACUGAUGUGCUAGAGUGCAGAAGGGGCAAUCGGAAUUCUUGGUGUAGCGGUGAAAUGCGUAGAUAUCAAGAGGAACACCUGAGGUGAAGACGGGUUGCUGGGCUGACACUGACGCUGAAGCGCGAAAGCUAGGGUAGCAAACGGG